ACCUAACUGCAAAGGAGCCUGGGAAAUGGAUUUUAGUGACUGCAUAAAACUUUGCUAAAGUAAUCAUCAUUAUUAUUGCUCUCAUUUAUUACCAACUUUCUAGCUUGGGCUCUCAUCUUCAUGCACCUGGAAAGUCAUAAUAGCUUCCUCACUAGUCUUCCUGCCACCAGACUGUCCCCCCUCCCUAUACCCUUUCUCCACACCAAACCCAGAGUUAUUAUUGUCUAAAAUCCAAACCUGAUCAUCUCACUCACCAUUCCCCAACUGCCCGCUUAUGUCCUUCUGUGACUUCUCACUGCCUCAGAAUCCAGUCAGAGUCCUUGCACCAGGAUCCAGCCAAUACCUAUCCCUUUGGUCUCACCUCCAGGACCUUUUUUUUUAUUUUUUAUUUAUUUAUUUUAAUUUUUUUUAACGUUUAUUUAUUUUUGAGACAGAGUACGAACAGGGGAGGGUCAGAGAGAGAGGGAGACACAGAAUCUGAAACAGGCUCCAGGCUCUGAGCUGUCAGCACAGAGCCCGACGCGGGGCUCGAACUCACAGACUGUGAGAUCAUGACCUGAGCCGAAGUCGGACGCUCAACCGACUGAGCCACCCAGGCGCCCCCUCCAGGACCUUUUUAUCUUACAGCUGGCAUCUGUGACUGGACACUGUGGAUACUCUAGUGGAUAAGGUAGACAGGACCCUGCUUUAUGGACUUUACAUUUUAGUGAGCAGGUGACUUCCAAACCAUGGCUCAAGGUGGUUGCUUGAACUCCAUCCGUUAUACCUACAUCCCAGCCAUCAAAAGGAAACAGUUCAUUCUCAUCUACUGAAAAUGGACCUUGCUCAUAUGUUGAGAACCAAGGGAGUGGGCAUCCAACUUAAAGACCUUCAUCUCAUCAUUGAUUCAUUUGCCACGUGUUUGUUGAGUCCCUACCAUGUGCUAGGCCAGUGAACAAGACAGACAAGUCCUGGCCUCAUUCUGGUAGUGGAUAUGGAUAAUAAACAAAUACAUAAAUCAAGAUCCUUAGAAACUAGGAUCUUGUUUUUCAUUGUUUAUUAGGUAUGAUGAUGGAAAUGUGCAGACAGAUGAAAUACAGAGUAACUAGGAGACCUCAAUUUAUACUGGGUGGUCAGGGAAGGCUUCUCUGAAAAGCUGACAUCUAAGACCCCAUAGAUAAAUAAAGCAGACAUGAGCAUGACCCAGGGGGCCUCAAAGACCCCACGAUAGCUUCUUGAAGUAACAGAAGGGAGACCAGCAUCCCCGGUGCCAAGUGAGCAUAUGGAGAUGGUAAAAGAUGAGGCUAGGUGCUACAUCCAACAGAACUUCAUGGAUACAUCUUGGUUUUUCUAGAAGAGUCCUCAUUAUACCUGAGUCCCCACCAUAAAUAUUAAGAGCCACAGGUUGGAAGCUAAAUUUUUCAGUCACCUUGCAUAUGCAGCUACGGGAGUCAGG